GUUAUUAAUGAGGUACAGGUUACAGCAGAAGGACAGGUCUUCCUCGUUGUUUUAGACGAGAUCCAGCAAACUGCCACAAACAUUUCUGUCUAAGCUGAUAAACUUGUCAACACUGGACUGCUGGUCCGGCAGUAGAUUGUUCCAGAGUUCAACACGAUAUAAAAGAGAAGAAUAAGUGGAAGUGGCCCUGAACAGACAGAGGGAGAAACAAGUGCAGACAGCAGGCAGACGAGUUGAUUAUGAAACGAAUGAAUGCACUAUUGUUAACUCGGAUGUCUCGGAUGACAGAUAACCUCAGAGAGAUUGGCGGAUGUCCUUUCUGCUUUCCACAAUGUCUACAACAAAACCUCAAACUCCUUAAAUAUCUCCACAAAGACAAGCUCACACAACCCUGGAAGUAAAAGCCAGAUUUAUUUCAACGGAAAUCCUGCCAUCAGUUUCUCUUCACUGGAACUAAGAGACUCAAACCUGUUCCAUCAUGACACAAAGUGCACAAAGCGAGCUCCAUGAAGACGUGGUGUGUGAAGGAUGGAAGAAGUUAGAAGAACUCGAGUGUCCUGCACAGAACCCUGACCUCAACCCCACUGAACACCUUUAGGAUGAUCUGGAACUGGAGUCUCCUCACAUCAACAUCAGCGCCUGACCUCAACCUCACUAACGCUCUAGUAUCUGAGUGAUCACUAAUCCCCACUGCCACACCCCAAAAUCUAGUGGAAAUCCUUCCCAGAAGAGUGGAGUGGAUUAUAACAGCAAACACAGAGGGAAUAAAUCUGGAAUGAAAUGUUCAACAAUUUGUGUUUUUUAAGAUUGCAUAAGAAACUAAUAAAAACAGCUUCUACAACUUUA